UGUGUUAUAUGAAAUAUCAGGCCUGUGUUGUUUUUCAUGUUUCAAGUCAAAGGCCUGGCAGCGCCUUCCCAAAGAUGAAUUGUCAGAAGAACAAAUUAGUCAUUACCUUCUGGAAUUUGGAGGCACCCCCAAGCAUUUUGCUGAAGACAAGGAAUUUGUGAAACAAUGUAGUCCCAUCAUAAGGGCAGAUCUGAACAUUGUUAGUAGUUGCACCCUGGAAAGAUGUAACCAGUGGAAAUGCUAACAUUCACCAGCUUCCAGGGGGUCACUUUUAUCUUCUGGAUCCUGCCAACGAGAAAUUAAUCAAGAACUACAUAAUCAAGUGUCUAGAAGUAUCAUCGAUUGCCAAAUUUUAGAUAUUUUUCCUGUCACUUUUAAAAUAAUCAAAGUAAUAUGAUACACUUUUCAGUUAUUCAGAUGUAGCUCAGUUUUAUUCAGAUUGGAAAUUACACAUUUUCUACUGUCAGGGAGAUUCGUUACAUAAAUAUAUUUACA
rnacentral:sRNA from 1 species